rnacentral:rRNA from 1 species
UAGGGAAUCUUCGGCAAUGGACGAAAGUCUGACCGAGCAACGCCGCGUGAGUGAAGAAGGUUUUAGGAUCGUAAAACUCUGUUGUUAGAGAAGAACAAGGACGUUAGUAACUGAACGUCCCCUGACGGUAUCUAACCAGAAAGCCACGGCUAACUACGUGCCAGCAGCCGCGGUAAUACUUAGGUGGCAAGCGUUGUCCGGAUUUAUUGGGCGUAAAGCGAGCGCAGGCGGUUUCUUAAGUCUGAUGUGAAAGCCCCCGGCUCAACCGGGGAGGGUCAUUGGAAACUGGGAGACUUGAGUGCAGAAGAGGAGAGUGGAAUUCCAUGUGUAGCGGUGAAAUGCGUAGAUAUAUGGAGGAACACCAGUGGCGAAGGCGGCUCUCUGGUCUGUAACUGACGCUGAGGCUCGAAAGCGUGGGGAGCAAACAGG